rnacentral:rRNA from 1 species
AUUGAACGCUGGCGGCAGGCUUAACACAUGCAAGUCGAGCGAGCGGCGGACGGGUGAGUAAUGUCUGGGAAACUGCCUGAUGGAGGGGGAUAACUACUGGAAACGGUAGCUAAUACCGCAUACCAUCAGAUGUGCCCAGAUGGGAUUAGCUAGCAGGUGGGGUAAUGGCUCACGUAGGCGACGAUCCCUAGCUGGUCUGAGAGGAUGACCAGCCACACUGGAAGUGAGACACGGUACAAGCUCCUACGGGGGGCAGCAGUGGGGAAAAUUGAACAAUGGGCGCAAGCCAGAUGCAGCCAUGCCGCGAGUGUUAAGAAGGCCUUCGGGUUGUAAAGCACUGUCAGCGAGGAGGCGGUACUCGCAGAAGAAGCACCGGCUAACUCCGUGCCAGCCGCCGAGGUAAUAC